UUGUUACAACGGGUACCAGGUAAUCUAACAUGGCGGAGAUGUAGACACGCUGCUGCGGAAAAUUUUCUUUUCAAAUGAUUUCAACUUAUUCACGUUUUGUGGUACGUCAUGCAAGAGAUCAGAGAAAAAAACUCUAAGAGAAGUGAAGGUGACAAAUUGGACCAAAAAGACUUGCAUACUCAGAUUAAGACAGACAAAGAUAUUUACAUUGCCACCCCAUUAAUACCAACACCAACACAAUCAAGUAAAAGAUCAACACGUUUGAGAAAAUUAAAAUUCCUUGGGAGGAGAAUCAACCACCAGUGGACAGAAUCAGACGGCUCUCUGAAUUGGUACAAAGGCACCGUGCUUUCUGUUUCUUCUGGAAAAGACGGAAAUCCUGAUGCAGUAUAUGAGGUGCUAUAUGAAGGCGAAGACGCGUCAUAUGAAGUAGAUUCUUUGAUCAAAGACUAUAAUGAAGGCACCUUAACUUUCAUAGAUUUGUAAUGGUAAUGGAGAUUCAGUGUCACUAAAAUAGAUGUUACUUUAAAAGUUUUCAUUCAUCAUAUCACAUAUUUAUCAUUGGAAGGAACUUUAUUUUGACAUACAAGUUUCAUGUGCUGCAAACUGAUUCAGGUAAGGCUUUUGCUUUUAUUUUAAUUUUCUUUUUUCUUUUUAGGCAAUGUAACAGCUUCUUUAUAGGUAAAGGAUUAAUGCCUCAACACUUUCCUUUUCAAAUGUACCUCAGAAUACUUCAGUUGAAAGUUUGAAUUUUUGACCUAAAAUUUUCAACAAAACAAUAUGGCUGACAUUUGA